rnacentral:lncRNA from 1 species
GCCCUCCACCAACUGAGCCACUCCCAGUUCAGCACCAGCGGGCGCCGGGAUCCCAGUUUGGCACCAGUUCAGCACCAGUUUGGCACUGGGGGAUCCCAGUUCAGCACCAGUUUGGCACUGGGGGAUCCCAGUUCGGCACCAGUUUGGCACUGGGGCAUCCCAGUAUGGCACCAGUUUGGCCCCAGUUCAGUUCCAGUUUGGAACCAGUGGGUCCCAGUUUGGAACCAGUUCGGUCCCAGUUCAAUAAAAGCCCCCCUGGGAGUUUUGGCUCAUCCCGAGGUUUCCAGCUGGAAAAAAAAAACCCGGGAAUUUUGGGUGGGAAAAAUGGGAAUUUGGGGAUUAAAACCAGGGAAUUUGGUACUAAAAAUGGAAAUUUUGGGAGGAAAACCCGGAAUUUUGGGAGCAAAACCAGGAAUUUUGGGAGGAGGAAGUGGCUUUCACAGGAAAAAANNNNNNNNNNNNNNNNNNNNNNNNNNNNNNNNNNNNNNNNNNNNNNNNNNNNNNNNNNNNNGAGGGAAGUGGCUUUCACAGGAAAAAAAAGGGAAUUUUGGGUGGGAAACAGGAAUUUUGGGGGGGGUUGAAUGGAAUUUUGCUGGAAAAACGGGAAUUUGGGCUGGAAAAUUUGGAGAUUUUGGGGGGAAAAAGAUUUGAAUUUUGGGGUUCGGGGCUGAAAUUUUGGGGUUCCUUGUGAGGUUUUGGGUUUGGAUUUUUUUUUUUGGUUCCUGGUUGGAACAUUGGUGGUUCCAGGUCAGGAUUUUGGGGUUCUGAAUUUGGAUUUAGGGUGUUCCAGGUCGAGAUUUGGGGGUUCUGUGUUUGAAUUUUGGGGUUCCUGGGUGAGAUUUUUCAGUGCCUGGUUGGGACUUUGGGGUUUUGUGUUUGAAUUUUGGGGUUCUGGGCUGGAAUUUUGAGGUUCCAGGUUGAGAUUUUGGGGUUCCAGGCUGGGAAUUCGGAGUUCCUUGAUGGGAUUUUGGGGUUCCAGGUUGGGAUUUUUGGGUUCUCUGUUUCAAUUUUGGGGUUCCAGGCUGGGAUUUUGGAGUUCUCUGUUUGAAUUUUGGAGUUCCUGGGUGGGAUUUUGGGGUUCUGUGUUUGAAUUUUGGGGUUCCAGGUCGGGAUUUUGGGGUUCCAGGCUGGGAUUUUGGGGUUCCAGGUCGGGAUUUUGGGGUUCCAGGCUGGGAUUUUGGGGUUCUGUGUUUGAAUUUUGGGGUUCCAGGCUGGGAUUUUGGGGUUCUGUGUUUGAAUUUUGGGGUUCCAGGCUGGGAUUUUGGGGUUCUGUGUUUGAAUUUUGGGGUUCCAGGCUGGGAUUUUGGGGUUCUGUGUUUGAAUUUUGGGGUUCCAGGCUGGGAUUUUGGGGUUCUGUGGUUGAAUUUUGGGGUUCUCUGUUGGGAUUUUGGGGUUCCAGGUCGGGAUUUUGGGGUUCCAGGCUGGGAUUUUGGGGUUCUGUGGUUGAAUUUUGGGGUUCUCUGUUGGGAUUUUGGGGUUCCAGGUCGGGAUUUUGGGGUUCCAGGCUGGGAUUUUGGGGUUCUGUGGUUGAAUUUUGGGGUUCUCUGUUGGGAUUUUGGGGUUCCAGGUCGGGAUUUUGGGGUUCCAGGCUGGGAUUUUGGGGUUCUGUGGUUGAAUUUUGGGGUUCUCUGUUGGGAUUUUGGGGUUCCAGGUCGGGAUUUUGGGGUUCCAGGCUGGGAUUUUGGGGUUCUGUGGUUGAAUUUUGGGGUUCUCUGUUGGGAUUUUGGGGUUCCAGGUCGGGAUUUUGGGGUUCCAGGCUGGGAUUUUGGGGUUCUGUGGUUGAAUUUUGGGGUUCUCUGUUGGGAUUUUGGGGUUCCAGGUCGGGAUUUUGGGGUUCCAGGCUGGGAUUUUGGGGUUCUGUGGUUGAAUUUUGGGGUUCUCUGUUGGGAUUUUGGGGUUCCAGGUCGGGAUUUUGGGGUUCCAGGCUGGGAUUUUGGGGUUCUGUGGUUGAAUUUUGGGGUUCUCUGUUGGGAUUUUGGGGUUCCAGGUCGGGAUUUUGGGGUUCCAGGCUGGGAUUUUGGGGUUCUGUGGUUGAAUUUUGGGGUUCUCUGUUGGGAUUUUGGGGUUCCAGGUCGGGAUUUUGGGGUUCCAGGCUGGGAUUUUGGGGUUCUGUGGUUGAAUUUUGGGGUUCUCUGUUGGGAUUUUGGGGUUCCAGGUCGGGAUUUUGGGGUUCCAGGCUGGGAUUUUGGGGUUCUGUGGUUGAAUUUUGGGGUUCUCUGUUGGGAUUUUGGGGUUCCAGGUCGGGAUUUUGGGGUUCCAGGCUGGGAUUUUGGGGUUCUGUGGUUGAAUUUUGGGGUUCUCUGUUGGGAUUUUGGGGUUCCAGGUCGGGAUUUUGGGGUUCCAGGCUGGGAUUUUGGGGUUCUGUGGUUGAAUUUUGGGGUUCUCUGUUGGGAUUUUGGGGUUCCAGGUCGGGAUUUUGGGGUUCCAGGCUGGGAUUUUGGGGUUCUGUGGUUGAAUUUUGGGGUUCUCUGUUGGGAUUUUGGGGUUCCAGGUCGGGAUGUCAGGCUCCUCCCCCAGCUCCUCUCUGUAAUAUUCGGCGUCGUCCUCGUCCGACGGCUCCGCCUCACCUGCCUCAGGUGCGCCGGGGUCCUCGACGUCACUGUCACCUGUGGGGUCACCUGGGCCACCUGCAGGGGCACCUGGGCCACCUGCUGCCCGGCCCAUCCCGGCCAGGCUGCGCUCCCUGGGAGAGACAGGUCCUGCUCCUGUUUCCGGCGCCGCUCCGCCCUCACCUGCAGCCGCUGCUCCUUCCGGGCCAGCAGCUCCCGCAGCUCCUCCUCACCUUUGGGGGCUGGGGGAACACCUGAGAUCAGCUGGGUGCACCUGAGAUACACCUGGGCACACCUGAGAUACACCUGAGAUCAGCUGGGUGCACCUGAGAUGCACCUGGGCACACCUGAGAUACACCUGAGAUCAGCUGGGUGCACCUGAGAUGCACCUGGGCACACCUGAGAUACACCUGAGAUCAGCUGGGUGCACCUGAGAUGCACCUGGGCACACCUGAGAUACACCUGAGAUCAGCUGGGUGCACCUGAGAUGCACCUGGGCACACCUGAGAUACACCUGAGAUCAGCUGGGUGCACCUGAGAUGCACCUGGGCACACCUGAGAUACACCUGAGAUCAGCUGGGUGCACCUGAGAUGCACCUGGGCACACCUGAGAUACACCUGAGAUCAGCUGGGUGCACCUGAGAUCACCUGGGCACACCUGAGAUACACACCUGGGAUACACCUGUCCCCUCACCUGUCCCAGGUGUGUCACUCACCCAGGCCGUGGUACAGGACGUCGCCCUGGCCCAGCCCCUCCUCCACCUUCAGCAGCUGCAGCGUCAGACGGGGCCCGAUCUGGGAGAGGGGACAGAGGGACAGAGGGACAGACAGAGGGACACGGGGACA